ACGUAGGGUGCAAGCGUUAUCCGGAAUCAUUGGGUUUAAAGGGUCCGCAGGCGGGUUUAUAAGUCAGUGGUGAAAGCCUACAGCUCAACUGUAGAACUGCCAUUGAAACUGUAGAUCUUGAAUUCGGUCGAAGUGGGCGGAAUAUGACAUGUAGCGGUGAAAUGCUUAGAUAUGUCAUAGAACACCGAUAGCGAAGGCAGCUCACUAGGCCUGGAUUGACGCUCAGGGACGAAAGCGUGGGGAGCAAACAGGAUUAGAUACCCUGGUAGUCCACGCCGUAAACUAUGAUUACUCGUUUUCAGCCCCUUGGGGUUGGAGACUAAGCGAAAGUGAUAAGUAAUCCACCUGGGGAGUACGAUCGCAAGGUUG
rnacentral:rRNA from 1 species